AGAACGAACGCUGGCGGCAUGCCUAACACAUGCAAGUCGAACGAGACCUUCGGGUCUAGUGGCGCACGGGUGCGUAACGCGUGGGAAUCUGCCCUUGGGUUCGGGAUAACAGUUGGAAACGACUGCUAAUACCGGAUGAUGACUUCGGUCCAAAGAUUUAUCGCCCAGGGAUGAGCCCGCGUCGGAUUAGCUAGUUGGUGGGGUAAAGGCCUACCAAGGCGACGAUCCGUAGCUGGUCUGAGAGGAUGAUCAGCCGCACUGGGACUGAGACACGGCCAGACUCCUACGGAGGCAGCAGUGGGGAAUAUUGGACAAUGGGCGAAAGCCUGAUCCAGCAAUGCCGCGUGAGUGAUGAAGGCCUUAGGGUUGUAAAGCUCUUUUACCCGGGAUGAUAAUGACAGUACGGAGAAUAAGCCCGCUAACUCCGUGCCAGCAGCCGGC
rnacentral:rRNA from 1 species